CCGGGCCUUGUACACACCGCCCGUCACACCAUGAGAGUUGGUAACACCCGAAGUCCGUGAGGUAACCGUAAGGAGCCAGCGGCCGAAGGUGGGAUUGAUGAUUGGGGUGAAGUCGUAACAAGGUAGCCGUAGGAGAACCUGCGGCUGGAUCACCUCCUUUCUAGGGAG
rnacentral:rRNA from 1 species